AGGGUUCGAUUAUGGCUCAGGACGAACGCUGGCGGCGCGCCUAACACAUGCAAGUCGAACGGAGAUUUUGAGAGCUUGCUUUUAAAAUCUUAGUGGCGGACGGGUGAGUAACGCGUGAGUAACCUACCUUUCAGAGGGGGAUAACGGCUGGAAACGGCCGCUAAUACCGCAUGACAUAUUGGAGCCGCAUGGCUCUGAUAUCAAAGGAGCAAUCCGCUGAAAGAUGGACUCGCGUCCAAUUAGCUAGUUGGCGGGGUAAAGGCCCACCAAGGCGACGAUUGGUAGCCGGACUGAGAGGUUGAACGGCCACAUUGGGACUGAGACACGGCCCAG
rnacentral:rRNA from 1 species